AGGAUAAGGAGGUAUUGGCGCGCCUCAAUCCGAAGGCGUGGCUGAUUGGCACGGCAGCCAUGUUCUUGGAUUGAGCCGCGUCAAUAUCUCCCCUUGCUUA
rfam:Dichanthelium oligosanthes cultivar Kellogg 1175 unplaced genomic scaffold Do_version_2_scaffold2577, whole genome shotgun sequence.